GUGCCAGCAGCCGCGGUAAGACGUAGGGCGCGAGCGUUGUCCGGAUUUAUUGGGCGUAAAGAGCUCGUAGGCGGCUCAUUGCGUCAACCGUGAAAACCAGCAGCUCAACUGUUGGCUUGCGGUUGAUACGGGUGGGCUGGAGUUCGGUAGGGGAGACUGGAAUUCCUGGUGUAGCGGUGAAAUGCGCAGAUAUCAGGAGGAACACCGGUGGCGAAGGCGGGUCUCUGGGCCGAUACUGACGCUGAGGAGCGAAAGCGUGGGGAGCGAACAGGAUUAGAUACCCUGGUAGUCC
rnacentral:rRNA from 1 species